GCAUCGAUGGUGGAACUGGUAUACACAGGAGACUUAAAAUCUCCCGCCGUAAGGAUUGAGGGUUCAAAUCCCUCUCGGUGCACCA
rnacentral:tRNA from 1 species